rnacentral:rRNA from 1 species
AUUAUAAUAUAAGAAAGUUAUAUAUAGACUAGGAUUAGAUACCCUAUUAUUUUAACUGUAAAAUGUCAACCUAAUUAGUAUUAGAUACGAUCUUUAAAUUUAAAGAAUUUGGCGGUAAUUUAACUUUUCAGAGGAACCUGUCCUGUAAUUGAUAAUCCACAAUAAAUUUUACUUUUAUUAUGUUUAUAUAUCUCUAUCAUUGAAUGUCUUUUGAAGGAAAUUUUCUAAACGAUUUUUUAAUCAAAAUGUUAGGUCAAGGUUUAAUAAUAUAAAAGUAGAGAUGGGUUACAUUAUUUUUAUAUGAGGAAAAUUGUAUGGAAAUAUAUUUGAAUUUGGAUUUGAUAGUAAAUUAUUUUAAAAUAAAUAUUUGAUAUUAGCUCUAUAUUAUGCACAUAUCGCCCGUCACCC